UACGUAGGGCGCAAGCGUUGUCCGGAAUUAUUGGGCGUAAAGAGCUCGUAGGCGGCCUGUUACGUCUGCUGUGAAAUCCCGGGGCUUAACCCCGGGCCUGCAGUGGAUACGGGCAGGCUAGAGGCAGGCAGGGGGAGAACGGAAUUCCCGGUGUAGCGGUGAAAUGCGCAGAUAUCGGGAGGAACACCGGUGGCGAAGGCGGUUCUCUGGGCCUGUACUGACGCUGAGGAGCGAAAGCGUGGGGAGCAAACAGG
rnacentral:rRNA from 1 species